rnacentral:tRNA from 1 species
AAGAUUUUAAGUUAUUAAAACUAAUAACCUUCAAAGUUAUCAAAAAAAGUCAUAUAUCUUUUAAAUCUUA